GAUGAACGCUGGCGGCGUGCCUAAUACAUGCAAGUCGAGCGAACGGACGAGAAGCUUGCUUCUCUGAUGUUAGCGGCGGACGGGUGAGUAACACGUGGAUAACCUACCUAUAAGACUGGGAUAACUUCGGGAAACCGGAGCUAAUACCGGAUAAUAUUUUGAACCGCAUGGUUCAAAAGUGAAAGACGGUCUUGCUGUCACUUAUAGAUGGAUCCGCGCUGCAUUAGCUAGUUGGUAAGGUAACGGCUUACCAAGGCAACGAUGCAUAGCCGACCUGAGAGGGUGAUCGGCCACACUGGAACUGGGACACGGUCCAGACUCCUACGGGAGGCAGCAGUAGGGAAUCUUCCGCAAUGGGCGAAAGCCUGACAGAGCAACGCCGCGUGAGUGAUGAAGGUCUUCGGAUCGUAAAACUCUGUUAUUAGGGAAGAACAUAUGUGUAAGUAACUGUGCACAUCUUGACGGUACCUAAUCAGAAAGCCACGGCUAACUACGUG
rnacentral:rRNA from 1 species